rnacentral:rRNA from 1 species
ACUCCGAUAUGGUAGUCUGUUAGUAUAGUUGAAGGAUUUGGAAAAUUCCGCUAAAGAGGGUGAAAGCCCCGUAGACGAAAUGCUAACAACACCUAGGAGGAUCCUGAGUACGGCGGAACACGAGAAAUUCCGUCGGAAUCCGCGGGGACCAUCCCGCAAGGCUAAAUACUCCCUAGUGACCGAUAGUGAACCAGUACCGUGAGGGAAAGGUGAAAAGCACCCCGGAAGGGGAGUGAAAUAGAUCCUGAAACCGUGUGCCUACAACAAGUCAAAGCUCGUUAAUGAGUGAUGGCGUGCCUUUUGUAGAAUGAACCGGCGAGUUACGAUUGCAUGCGAGGUUAAGUCGAAGAGACGGAGCCGCAGCGAAAGCGAGUCUGAAUAGGGCGAAUGAGUAUGUAGUCGUAGACCCGAAACCAUGUGAUCUACCCAUGUCCAGGUUGAAGGUGCGGUAAAACGCACUGGAGGACCGAACCCACGUACGUUGAAAAGUGCGGGGAUGAGGUGUGGGUAGCGGAGAAAUUCCAAACGAACUUGGAGAUAGCUGGUUCUCUCCGAAAUAGCUUUAGGGCUAGCCUCGGAAUUGAGAAUGAUGGAGGUAGAGCACUGUUUGGACUAGGGGCCCAUCUCGGGUUACCGAAUUCAGAUAAACUCCGAAUGCCAUUCAUUUAUAUCCGGGAGUCAGACUGCGAGUGAUAAGAUCCGUAGUCGAAAGGGAAACAGCCCAGACCACCAGCUAAGGUCCCAAAAUAUAUGUUAAGUGGAAAAGGAUGUGGGGUUGCACAGACAACUAGGAUGUUGGCUUAGAAGCAGCCACCAUUUAAAGAGUGCGUAAUAGCUCACUAGUCGAGUGACCCUGCGCCGAAAAUGUACCGGGGCUAAACAUAUUACCGAAGCUGUGGACUACACCAUUAGGUGUAGUGGUAGGAGAGCGUUCUAAGGGCGUUGAAGGUCGAUCGUGAGGACGGCUGGAGCGCUUAGAAGUGAGAAUGCCGGUAUGAGUAGCGAAAGACAGGUGAGAAUCCUGUCCACCGUAUGACUAAGGUUUCCUGGGGAAGGCUCGUCCGCCCAGGGUUAGUCGGGACCUAAGCCGAGGCCGAUAGGCGUAGGCGAUGGACAACAGGUUGAUAUUCCUGUACCAGUUGUUUUUGUUUGAGCAAUGGAGGGACGCAGUAGGCUAAGGAAUGCAUGCGAUUGGAAGUGCAUGUCCAAGCAAUGAGUCUUGAGUAGAGUUAAAUGCUUUACUCUUUAAGGACAAGUUGUGACGGGGAGCGAAAUAAUAGUAGCGAAGUUCCUGAUGUCACACUGCCAAGAAAAGCUUCUAGUGAGAAAACAACUGCCCGUACCGUAAACCGACACAGGUAGUCGAGGAGAGUAUCCUAAGGUGAGCGAGCGAACUCUCGUUAAGGAACUCGGCAAAAUGACCCCGUAACUUCGGGAGAAGGGGUGCUGACUUCGGUCAGCCGCAGUGAAUA